rnacentral:rRNA from 1 species
ACAGCUAAGUACCCCGAGGAAAAGAAAUCACCCGGGCUUCCCCCAGUAGCGGCGAGCGAACGGGGAGGAGCCCAGAGCCUGAAUCAGCAUGUGUGUUAGUGGAAGCGUCUGGAAAGGCGCGCGAUACAGGGUGACAGCCCCGUACACAAAAGCGCAUGUGUUGUGAGCUCGAUGAGUAGGGCGGGACACGUGGUAUCCUGUCUGAAUAUGGGGGGACCAUCCUCCAAGGCUAAAUACUCCUGACUGACCGAUAGUGAACCAGUACCGUGAGGGAAAGGCGAAAAGAACCCCGGCGAGGGGAGUGAAAAAGAACCUGAAACCGUGUACGUACAAGCAGUGGGAGCCCCACCACUAAGCCAGUGGUGAACUCCACAUACGCAUCCUUUGCUGAAGGUGCGGUUAACGGAGCGCAAGCGACGUUCAACCUCAAAAGAAGCAGAGGGGGCUUAGUGGUGGGGUGACUGCGUACCUUUUGUAUAAUGGGUCAGCGACUUAUAUUCUGUAGCAAGGUUAACCGCAUAGGGGAGCCGGAGGGAAACC